rnacentral:rRNA from 1 species
UACGUAGGGUCCAAGCGUUAUCCGGAAUCACUGGGCGUAAAGCGUGCGUAGGCGGCGUGUUAAGUGUGAUGUUAAAUCGUGUGGCUCAACCAUAUCGAUGCAUCGCAUACUGGCAUGCUUGAGGAAGGCAGAGGCAAGUGGAAUUUGUAGUGUAGCAGUGAAAUGCGUAGAGAUUACAAGGAACACCAAUGGCGAAGGCAGCUUGCUGGGCCCUUUCUGACGCUGAGGUACGAAAGCGUGGGGAG